CUACCAAAAGCUUCUUAAUCAGUGAAGGUUAAUGUGACCUUAACUACUUGAGCUCUUGGAAAAGCAAAGACUGCACUCCACUAUGGACUACAUGGUUGUAAUCCAUCACUAUAAUGUAGUCAACAAA
rnacentral:snoRNA from 1 species